UGGGCCGAGUUACCUUUGAUCAUCAGUAAGUGAGAUUGUUUCUGAUACGAUUUCGUUUUCUGGCAAUCAAAGGAACUCGACUCG
rfam:Drosophila simulans chromosome 2L, whole genome shotgun sequence.